CCUGAGCAGCGUUAGUGGAAUAGUUGGAAAUAGCUGUCUGUCUUAAAUCUACGUCCACGUAUUUUAUUGCUUCUAUCAAAAAUGAUUUUGGAGGGUCUGGAAAAUAGAAAGCUGUUGUGUACUGUAGCACAAGGUGGUUAUUGAUGAGCUUGUGUAGAAGGACAGAUCUGCUAAUAUUUGAGCUGUAGAUGUUUUGUCAGAAUUGGAGAGCCUGUACGAUACUUGAAACAGUAAUGUAUCUUUUCUCUCCGCGGGUGAUGGCUGGCCUACAGAGAAGUUCUAGAAUAGCUUUUUUUUAUUUCUGAUAUCCAACGUCUUCAGCCUUUAUGAAUAAAGCUAAGGACUCCGGAUGCUAGAGAUCUGAAACAAAAAUGAAAAUUGCUGGCGAAACUCGGCAGGUCUGGCAGCAUCUGUGGGGAGAAAGCAGUUAACAUUUUGAGUCCGGCUGAAGGGUCUCUCAUGAACUUGGGAAUUCAUUUCACAAAAUUAAAAACUGAAAAUGGAAAGGGAGAGCUGCUGCAUAACCGCUAUAACAAAUUUAUGGCAGCACAGGAGGAGACCAUUCAGCCCAUUGUGUCUGGACCAGCUCUUUGGAUGAGCAGUUUAUCUGGUUUGUGUGAUUGAAAGUGUGCCGUGGUAUGACGACUACUAACAAGGGAAACAAGGCCUUAAAGGUACAGC